rnacentral:lncRNA from 1 species
AUACAUGUACAUUUCAUGUAAGGGUUAGAAAAAAGAUAAAAGAUGUAUAGGGCAGAAACAAUAGAUUUCACGCAUGUCUCUUGUUCAUGGUCUUUUUGGCGCAACAGUAUAGUUACUCUGUUGUAACUUGGGUGAUGAGUUUGAAACAAGAAAAUGACUUCUCUGGAUAAGGCUGCAUACACUUAACCCCCUUCCAAACCUCAUAGUGGUUGGAGCCUCAUACACAUGGUUUCAGUCUACUCUCUGUUGGGGGAUGGGGGGACACCUUUAGUCCCAUAUUGCUUGUGUGACGAAGAGGUUUGUGCCUUAAAUGGAGGGGCUCCCUCCUUUCUCUUCGGAGGCGCCUUUUAGGGCAAAACCGUGAGAGGUGGAAAGCGACCCGCGACUGCCCGAGCAGCAGCGUGAGGCCGACCCCCAAAGCGGACAAUACCUUCGGAGAGAAACACAGAUACUUUUCACCCACAACAAAUGGUGCGGUGAGCGUGGACCUCCCUAUACCCUGUAAAACCGCGAGGUGGAAUCACAGACCUCUCCGUCAGGGGGGGCUGUGUUGGGGGAUGAAGGGACACCUUUAGUCCCAUACUGCUUGUGUGACGAAGAGGUCUGUGCCUUAAAUGGGGGGCUCCCUCCUUUCUCUUCGGAGGUGUCUUUUGGGGCAAAACCGUGAGGGGUGGAAAGCGACCCGCGACUGCCCGAGCAGUAGCGUGAGGCCGACCCCCAAAGCGGACAAUACCUUCGAAGAGAAACACAGAUACUUUUUGCCCACAACACUCUCCAUUCGAGUUUAUGCAUUAUUAUAAGUUAGACAUUCCAAUUCUCUAAGAAAAUCGAGUCUCAUCUUGAAUGCAAUGCGCAACCAGCAAUAUUUGCACGUUGCCAUGGCUUGCUGAACUUUUUGAAUUCAAACUAAUGGUGGAACGGUAGGAAGAGAUGGAUGUUUGGACCAGAACUCUUGGCCUUCUGGCUGGGUUAAAAAUCCUUGAGUGCAUAC